UGUUAAAAAUUCCAUCCAUUUGUACAGUUAAAAAUUAGUGUGAUUGACAAAAUAAUUAGACAAUUACAUAUGAUGUGUCACGUGUACCUUAUGCUAACAUACAAUGACCAAUUUUUAACAACGUAAAUGGAUAAAUUUUUAAAA
rfam:Gossypium raimondii Chr11_contig_1209, whole genome shotgun sequence.